CUAAAUCUAAAAUUGUUGGGUUUUUUCUUUUUGUUUUUAUUUUAUCUGUGUGAAAUUCUUUUUUUAUUUUUUAUAAUAAAUUAUGUAAUUAAAACAUAUGAGAUGGUAGAUGACAUGAGUUGCCAUGUCAUGUGCCGCAUGUGUUAGUAUCCAAAAGUUGAUAAACAAGUUAGUGCUUAGUGUUAUAGAAGCAAUAUUCCAUUGUCCACAUGGAGUCUCAUGAUUGGUUGCCAAAAUAUUUACUCCCACAAUCGAG
rnacentral:lncRNA from 1 species